ensembl:rRNA 5S_rRNA 5S ribosomal RNA
GUCUAAGGCCAUAGCACCCUGAACGCGCCCAAUCUUGUCUGAUCUCAAAAGCUAAGCAGGGUCGGUCCAGGUUAGUACUUGGAUGGGAGGAAGGACUGGACACUGACG